GAGCUCCACUGCUCCCUCUCCACUGCUACCGUCUCCUUGCUCCAAAUAGGAUUCUCUCCUCUCCUGGCCCACUCUAGCAGAGUCUUACACACAGGCAUUCUGAGAGUUUCCUCAAAGCUUUGGCUACUACUUUCUAAGGCUCACAAACAAACCUCCUCUCAGAAAACGUUAUCUGGUUAUAUUAUCCAAAAUCAAGACUUGUCACCUCAAACUGGCUUGGGUAAUCUUUUCUCUAUUUAUCUUUUUCUUCAUCUACAAAAUAAGACACUUGCAAAAUGCACUUUGAGUCUGUCACCUUCACAGUAUCAUGCUAAUAUUCAGCACUGCACAAAUAUUAUUGAUUUUUGGACAGCCUGCACUCUUCACCAAAUUCUUUCAAAUUUCAUUAAUUCUGUAUCUGGCAACAAUAUACAUUAGUAUAUAUAUCUUAAAGUUCAAAUACACUUAAAGGUUCUCAUCAAAGUAACACACCCUGAUAAUUUCCAGAGAAAUCAUGGGUUCCUAUCAAGACGCCAAAUGGUACGGCAUGUUGCAUCCUCCUCCCAAAACUUCAGAAGUCCUAAGGAACUAUGCACCCCCAGAAAUAACAAGAGUGACAACCCUGGGAAAUGACAGAGGCCUGAAGGCUGUCUCUUAAUUGGUGGGUAGCCUGGGAUUAGGGGCAGUGGGUGGCAGCCUUGAGGGGCUCAGUGUGAGGGAAAAUUUUAAGGACCGUUCUUGCCUCUCCCCUGAGUUGCUUGGAAGCGAUCACUUUCCUUUCUCAGCAGAAACAAGUAGCAACCACCCAGAUGUAGCUAGGAUAAAAGUAGAGUAGCAUUAGGUUAGCUGAUGAAAGCAGGGAAGGGCUGAACAAUCCUUGAUCCUUCACUCCUCCACCUCCUCCGUCUCCCAAGCCCCAGGUGACAACCUCAAAUGCCUCCUCAAAUGCCGCUUUCCCCAAGAGCUCAAAGGUGACAGAUCCUGACCACAGGAGUGAGUGGUCACAGUGUUUCACGGUUUCUGAGACU
rnacentral:lncRNA from 1 species